GCCUUGGGAGUAGGUGGAGGCGGUGACCGCAAUGUGUGAGACAGGAACUCAGCGCCGACGGGUGGGGGUUUGCACAAAGACAUCGGCCUUUUAGGACCUACACGAGGUGCAGAAGUGGCUGGGCCUCCCUUCUGCACCUUAGCGAACGCUCAAGAGGGAUGGCGAUGGUGAUGGCGGCAGUUUCUCGGACAGCCCCAGUUAAGCUGCGGUCUGAGAGAUAUAUCCAGAGAGUGCCCAGAAGAAACUUCCUGCUGGAAAAACUGAAAAAGCAGUAUUUAUAACACUGGAAUUUGUGGAUAAUUUGUUAAAAUGGCAGAAAAUAGUGACAGUAUUAGCAAAAAUGUAGAUGUGAGGCCCAAAACUAGUCGAAGUAGAAGUGCUGACAGAAAGGACGGUUAUGUGUGGAGUGGAAAGAAAUUAUCUUGGUCAAAAAAGAAUGAAAGUUGUUCAGAUGCUGAAACAGUGAAUGCUGUAGAGAAAACUGAAGUUCCUUUAAGGAGCCAAGAAAGGAAGCACAGCUGUUCAUCUAUCGAGUUGGAUUUAGAUCAUUCCUGUGGGCAUAGAUUUUUAGGCCGCUCUCUUAAACAGAAACUGCAAGAUGCCGUGGGGCAGUGUUUUCCAAUAAAGAAUUGUAGUGGUCGGCACUCUUCGGGGCUUCCAUCUAAAAGGAAAAUUCAUAUCAGUGAACUCAUGUUAGAUAAGUGUCCUUUCCCACCUCGAUCAGAUUUAGCCUUUAGGUGGCACUUUAUUAAACGACACACUGCUCCUAUAAAUCCCAAAUCCAAUGAAUGGGUAAGCACAGACUCGUCUCAGAGUGAACUGAGGGAUGGUCAGCUAAAACAAAGAAGAAACGUGGAAGAAGAGGUAAACUGCUUCUCACAAACCAAUGUUCAGCCCUGUGUCAUAACCACUAACAGUGCUUCUUCAUGUAGAGGUGGUCCCAUGACUGGCUCUGUGAUGAACCUGGUUUCAAAUAACAGUAUAGAAGAUAGUGAUAUGGAUUCGGAUGACGAAAUUAUUACACUUUGCACAAGUUCCAGGAAAAGAAACAAACCCAAAUGGGAAAUGGAUGAAGAAAUCCUGCAGUUGGAAACACCUCCUAAGUACCAUACCCAGAUUGAUUAUGUCCACUGUCUUGUACCAGACCUCCUGCAGAUCAAUAACAAUCCAUGUUACUGGGGAGUUAUGGAUAAAUAUGCAGCUGAAGCUCUACUGGAGGGAAAACCAGAGGGUACCUUUUUACUUCGAGACUCAGCACAGGAAGACUAUUUAUUCUCAGUUAGUUUUAGACGCUAUAGUCGUUCUCUUCAUGCUAGAAUUGAACAAUGGAAUCACAACUUUAGCUUUGAUGCACAUGAUCCUUGUGUCUUCCAUUCUCCUGACAUUACUGGGCUCCUAGAACAUUAUAAGGACCCAAGUGCCUGUAUGUUCUUUGAACCACUUUUAUCCACUCCUUUAAUUCGGACUUUCCCCUUUUCCUUGCAGCAUAUAUGCAGAACAGUUAUUUGUAACUGUACAACUUACGAUGGCAUUGAUGCCCUUCCAAUUCCUUCUUCUAUGAAAUUAUAUCUGAAGGAAUAUCACUAUAAAUCAAAAGUUAGAGUACUCAGGAUUGAUGCACCAGAACAAUGCUAGGGAAUGUGUAGGAAUAUGGGAAUGAUUAUAUACAUAUUUUCAUUUAAUAUUUUAUUUUUCUUAUGUCACUUUGAAUUUUUCUACAAGGGCAGUUGAAAUCUAAAAUAAAUCUCUGCCCUAAAUUUUACUUCCAGAUCAGUUUAUUUUUCUUAUGAUAAACUAAUUGUUUAAAGUUACACACUAGGGGUUAAUGAAUAUUUUUGACCAGGUGUUUGGUUUUUGGUUUUACAGGUAGAUUGUAUACUUAAUUUUUUUUCUUAAUUGUAAUUUGCUUAAGGUCCAGGGAUAUUUGAAAUUUGGUAGGCAUUGCAAAUACAAUUAAGUAAUCUAUAUUUCAUACUUUCCUUUAAAAAUAAGCUUAUGUCCUUUCCUACAUGUUCCCUUGUUAACCUAUGCCAUUGGCAUUCCUAUACAUAAAAUAUAGUUUCCUCAUCCCCCUUUCCCGAGUUGUUUUAAAAUUCUUUAGUUAACCUGAGUGUGUUGUAAUUCACAAUCCAUAUCAAUGUAAUUGAGUCUUGUACCUUAAUAAUAAAUAAUAGGGAUGUUAAAGGUAACAAAAUGGUUUGAAAUUAAACUUGAAGUCUUUUCAUUUUAAAUACUAACUAUAAAGCAGUAUUACUAAAUUUGAUUAAUCUGAUUAGGAAGAAUCAAAUGAGAACAUGACUUUUUGGAAGUGAAUUUAUUUUCUACACUGUAGCAUGGUCAUUUAUUUUUGAAUAGGUCUUUCACUCAACCUAGAUGAGUUGCUAUCUUCAGAACAAAUAUUGUUCCUUUCUCACUGGAAGCUUUAAAAAUAAUAACACUAUUAGUAUAGUAGUUACUAACAUAUUAAAGCAACUAUGGGGUUUUUCUGUAUUUACUUAUGAAGUGUUUCUUCUGAUUAGCCUUUUCAUAGAAACUCUGAGCCUGUUAUUUUGGGGAGAUGCCACGGUUUUAUAAACAGCCAGAAAUUUCCAUCAGUAACCAAAGAGGACCUAAGUAGUCUUCAUUAUUUUAAAGUGAGCUUCACUAAGGAUUCAAGAAGUAAAACAUGGAGCUCAGUUUUCUGAAACUUAAUAUUGGUUUUGAUUUUCAAGUUUCAAAUAAUUAUUCCUGUCUUCAGAAUUAACAUGUCUUUACUGGGGCUUCAAAAAAGGGAAAACAUUUUGAGAGCUACAUGGCUUACACCAUACUGAAUAGCACUAGGCACUAGGAGUAGUAUUUUAAAUUUGCUAUCCCAGUACAGAAGCAUUUUUAGGAAUGUCAUCCCAGUAUGAUAAAGGUAAAUGGAGUGAUAAAUUUCCUAGACAGUUACUUCUUCUGGUGAGCUGUCUAGCCCUUUGUACAAAUUGGCAUUUUUAAUAUCCUAGUAAUUGAUUUUUUUUUCCUAGUAAUUGAUUUCUUGAUGCUAAUUUAGGUCUGGUAGGAAGCUGCUUCUACCUGGAUUGGAAGAAAUUUGACUCAAGUUUCCAAGUUAGAACAGAUAUUUCUUAAGUAUCAUUGCUUUUCUGUUGAAGUAGCAUUUCCCUUUCAUGCAGUUCUGUUGUAAACAUAAAGAUGGCAUUUUUCAGUAAUAGCUUUAAAAUAAAUUUUUAGCAAUUACAACAAAAUUAAACCAAGAAAAUCUCUUACCAUUUUCUAGCAUUUUUUUUUUCUCAGUGAUCUCAAGAUUGUCUUAUUCCAGGUAGGGUAACUACUAAUUAUGGCACCUGUCUGUGGAGUAAUGAGGCUCAGGAUAUCAUUAACACCGAUAUCGGGAUAAAUAUCUCUUCUAAAGAUGAUAUUUCCCUUUUACAAAAGUAGAAAAGUCUCAUACUACCUCAUCUUUAUUGUGACACUUUUUGUAGAUCACUGAGAAGCUUGUCUUAUUUACCAAUAAACCACUUCCUAAAUAUCCAUUUUUGGUGAAAGAACACUAAUAGUGUAGUAAGACUCUACCCAUGAUUAUAGUUUUUUAUCAGAAUUUGAUAAUGAGACUUUCUGUUUCUGUGAAACAAUUAUUGUUUUAAAUAUUUUUCUUUUAAAAAUAACUUUUUAUCAGUACAGAAAAACCUAAGGGAUGACUACCUAACAAAUAUUCUGUUAUAGAGUAAUUUUAUAAAGAAAAAAUGAAAUAUAAUUAUGUUGUCUUUUAUAAUGGUAAAAAUUAAUGUUUAUAUGAAAAUCAAGAUAUGAGUAGCUUUUCAUAUAUUCAAACUGGUUGCUUGUGAUAUAUUUUCUUUGGCUUUCUUAUUUUUUCAACUUAAAGGUAUUAAUAACUGUUAACAUUUUCAAAAUACUGCCAUAUAUAUAUCCUUGAAGUAAAUGAUCUAAUAAAUGAGAGCAGGGAAGAGACUCAUUUACUCUGAAAUGGUUUGUAUUUUUCCUUUGGUAUUUGCUAGAGUGAAAAGAAAUAUGGAAAGUACAAGUAUAAAGACUUGAGAAGGGAAUUGUUUACCACGAAGGAAAAAGGAAAGAAUAAUUAAUUUUUUAAAACAUUAAAGAAUUGGAAUUCAGAAAGGAUAAUACCUUUCUCUUACUUUGUGAGGAUAAAUUUGUAAGAGCAUCCAGUAUUCACAAACUUAUUUUAAAAAUGUAAAAUAUGUAAUUAUUGGAAUAUAUAAAACAAAAGUGACUAAGUCAUGAAAGGAACGUAAGGAAAGAUACAAAUAUAUCUAAAUAUAAAUUUUGUAACUCUAGGUUUGUGGGCAUUUGAAAAGUGUAAAUCCAAGAGUUGAGAAAGCAUUAGCAUGGUGGAAAUGUCUAGAGCUUAUUGGUGAGAGAAGAUGGAGCUAAAAGAAACAAGAUAAAAUAUUAAAAUUAAGAAUUUAGGCAUCACCUCAGGGAAGAGCCUUGAUAGUGAAAGGGAACUACUUAACUGCUAAUAGCUGGUCUGGCCCAGACACUUAACUGCGCUUUGGGAAUCAUCCUGCACUAAUCAGGAAAUAAACUUGACUUUUCUAUUUCUCAAGCUUUUCAGGACAAUCCCACCACCACCACCAUGCAUCUUUUUUUUUUUUUAAAGCUAUAGCAUCUUGAUUCAUAUUCUAAUUCCUAAAAUAUUCUGAAUGGAUUUUUUUAGGAUCCUUUAGCAUUUUUGUAUGAAAAAUCCUAUGUGAUCUUUCUGUAGCUAUGCCAUUCACUUAAAUAAUUCAUAGAGAGAAUGGUUUAAUUUAAAGGAAGAAGAUUAAAGGAAGCUUUUAGUCAGCCUGUGGUUUGAUUUAUUGAUUUGGUGAACAGAACUGUGUUCUUUCCUGAAUUUCAGCUAAUGGUCAAAGAAUGGCUUUCAGUUAAAGUUGUGACUUAUUAUAAAUAAUAUAAAGAAUGUCUAAGUAAUUAGAAAUCCUUUAAAAAGUAGAGUAAAUGUGGCCAAUAGGACUCAUAGAAAUUCCAUUUCUUUUUAUAAGAAAAACACAAGCCAUUAUCAUUUAUUCAUGAGCCAAAGCCAUUAAGAAGACAAAUCAAGUUAUCAGCUUCCUGUCUCUGUCUCUCUGAAGUUUGGAUCAUUUUAUAGACCCACAUAAUAGAGCAGUUUUUUCCUUUGAAAAAAAAACCUUGAAACCUAACUCUUACAAAUAUACUUAGUUUUCAUUUCAAAACUUUUUUGUUGCUUUUAUUUAUAAUGAGUCAAAUAGGUUAUAUAUUGAUUUUGGUGGAGUAAAUUUCACAGGAAAGUAGACUUAACUAUUUCUGGAGACAACACAGGGAGAACAAUGUUUAAAUGUAAAAAAAAAAAAAAAAAAAC